rnacentral:rRNA from 1 species
GUGGGGAAUNUUCCGCAAUGGGCGAAAGCCUGACGGAGCAAUACCGCGUGAGGGACGAAGGCUCUUGGGUCGUAAACCUCUUUUCUCAAGGAAGAAUAUGACGGUACUUGAGGAAUAAGCAUCGGCUAACUCUGUGCCAGCAGCCGCGGUAAUACAGAGGAUGCAAGCGUUAUCCGGAAUGAUUGGGCGUAAAGCGUCCGCAGGUGGUUUUAUAAGUCUGCUGUUAAAGCGUGUGGCUCAACCACAUACAGGCAGUGGAAACUAUAAGACUAGAGUAUGUUAGGGGUAGAGGGAAUUCCCAGUGUAGCGGUGAAAUGCGUAGAGAUUGGGAAGAACACCGGUGGCGAAAGCGCUCUGCUAGGACAAUACUGACACUGAGGGACGAAAGCUAGGGGAGCGAAWGGGAUUAGAUACCCCUGUAGUCA